UGCAAGUCGAGCGGACAGAUGGGAGCUUGCUCCCUGAUGUUAGCGGCGGACGGGUGAGUAACACGUGGGUAACCUGCCUGUAAGACUGGGAUAACUCCGGGAAACCGGGGCUAAUACCGGAUGGUUGUUUGAACCGCAUGGUUCAGACAUAAAAGGUGGCUUCGGCUACCACUUACAGAUGGACCCGCGGCGCAUUAGCUAGUUGGUGAGGUAACGGCUCACCAAGGCGACGAUGCGUAGCCGACCUGAGAGGGUGAUCGGCCACACUGGGACUGAGACACGGCCCAGACUCCUACGGGAGGCAGCAGUAGGGAAUCUUCCGCAAUGGACGAAAGUCUGACGGAGCAACGCCGCGUGAGUGAUGAAGGUUUUCGGAUCGUAAAGCUCUGUUGUUAGGGAAGAACAAGUGCCGUUCAAAUAGGGCGGCACCUUGACGGUACCUAACCAGAAAGCCACGGCUAACUACGUGCCAGCAGCCGCGGUAAUACGUAGGUGGCAAGCGUUGUCCGGAAUUAUUGGGCGUAAAGGGCUCGCAGGCGGUUUCUUAAGUCUGAUGUGAAAGCCCCCGGCUCAACCGGGGAGGGUCAUUGGAAACUGGGGAACUUGAGUGCAGAAGAGGAGAGUGGAAUUCCACGUGUAGCGGUGAAAUGCGUAGAGAUGUGGAGGAACACCAGUGGCGAAGGCGACUCUCUGGUCUGUAACUGACGCUGAGGAGCGAAAGCGUGGGAGCGAACAGGAUUAGAUACCCUGGUAGUCCACGCCGUAAACGAUGAGUGCUAAGUG
rnacentral:rRNA from 1 species